rnacentral:rRNA from 1 species
AUUGAACGCUGGCGGCAGGCCUAACACAUGCAAGUCGAACGGUAGCACAGAGAGCUUGCUCUCGGGUGACGAGUGGCGGACGGGUGAGUAAUGUCUGGGAAACUGCCUGAUGGAGGGGGAUAACUACUGGAAACGGUAGCUAAUACCGCAUAAUGUCGCAAGACCAAAGUGGGGGACCUUCGGGCCUCAUGCCAUCAGAUGUGCCCAGAUGGGAUUAGCUAGUAGGUGGGGUAACGGCUCACCUAGGCGACGAUCCCUAGCUGGUCUGAGAGGAUGACGAGCCAGACGGAAACUGGAACAGGGCCCAGACUCCUACGGGGUGCAGCAGGGGGGAAUAUUGCACAAUGGGCGAAGGCCUAAUGCAGCCAUGCCGCGUGUGUGAAGAAGGCCUUGGGGUUGUAAAGCACUUUCAGCGGGGAGGAAGGCGUUAAGGUUAAUACCCUUGGCGAUUGACGUUACCCGCAGAAGAAGCACCGGCUAACCCCGUGCCAGCCGCCGCCGUAA